rnacentral:rRNA from 1 species
CUUAACACAUGCAAGUCGAGGGGCAGCAUUUCAGUUUGCUUGCAAACUGGAGAUGGCGACCGGCGCACGGGUGAGUAACACGUAUCCAACCUGCCGAUAACUCGGGGAUAGCCUUUCGAAAGAAAGAUUAAUACCCGAUGGUAUAAUCAGACCGCAUGGUCUUGUUAUUAAAGAAUUUCGGUUAUCGAUGGGGAUGCGUUCCAUUAGGCAGUUGGUGAGGUAACGGCUCACCAAACCUUCGAUGGAUAGGGGUUCUGAGAGGAAGGUCCCCCACAUUGGAACUGAGACACGAUCCAAACUCCUACGGGAGGCAGCAGUGAGGAAUAUUGGUCAAUGGGCGCAGGCCUGAACCAGCCAAGUAGCGUGAAGGAUGACUGCCCUAUGGGUUGUAAACUUCUUUUAUAUGGGAAUAAAGUUUUCCACGUGUGGAAUUUUGUAUGUACCAUAUGAAUAAGGAUCGGCUAACUCCGUGCCAGCAGCCGCGGUAAUACGGAGGAUCCGAGCGUUAUCCGGAUUUAUUGGGUUUAAAGGGAGCGUAGGUGGACAGUUAAGUCAGUUGUGAAAGUUUGCGGCUCAACCGUAAAAUUGCAGUUGAUACUGGCUGUCUUGAGUACAGUAGAGGUGGGCGGAAUUCGUGGUGUAGCGGUGAAAUGCUUAGAUAUCACGAAGAACUCCGAUUGCGAAGGCAGCUCACUGGACUGCAACUGACACUGAUGCUCGAAAGUGUGGGUAUCAAACAGGAUUAGAUACCCCGGUAGUCCACACAGUAAACGAUGAAUACUCGCUGUUUGCGAUAUACAGUAAGCGGCCAAGCGAAAGCAUUAAGUAUUCCACCUGGGGAGUACGCCGGCAACGGUGAAACUCAAAGGAAUUGACGGGGGCCCGCACAAGCGGAGGAACAUGUGGUUUAAUUCGAUGAUACGCGAGGAACCUUACCCGGGCUUAAAUUGCAUUUGAAUAUAUUGGAAACAGUAUAGCCGUAAGGCAAAUGUGAAGGUGCUGCAUGGUUGUCGUCAGCUCGUGCCGUGAGGUGUCGGCUUAAGUGCCAUAACGAGCGCAACCCUUAUCUUUAGUUACUAACAGGUCAUGCUGAGGACUCUAGAGAGACUGCCGUCGUAAGAUGUGAGGAAGGUGGGGAUGACGUCAAAUCAGCACGGCCCUUACGUCCGGGGCUACACACGUGUUACAAUGGGGGGUACAGAAGGCAGCUACCUGGUGACAGGAUGCUAAUCCCAAAAGCCUCUCUCAGUUCGGAUCGAAGUCUGCAACCCGACUUCGUGAAGCUGGAUUCGCUAGUAAUCGCGCAUCAGCCAUGGCGCGGUGAAUACGUUCCCGGGCCUUGUACACACCGCCCGUCAAGCCAUGAAAGCCGGGGGUACCUGAAGUACGUAACCGCAAGGAGCGUCCUAGGGUAAAACUGGUAAUUGGGGCUAAGUCG